rnacentral:rRNA from 1 species
AGAGUUUGAUCCUGGCUCAGAGCGAACGCUGGCGGCAGGCCUAACACAUGCAAGUCGAACGGAUCCUUCGGGAUUAGUGGCGGACGGGUGAGUAACACGUGGGAACGUGCCCUUUGGUUCGGAACAACUCAGGGAAACUUGAGCUAAUACCGGAUGUGCCCUUCGGGGGAAAGAUUUAUCGCCAUUGGAGCGGCCCGCGUCUGAUUAGCUAGUUGGUGGGGUAAAGGCCCACCAAGGCGACGAUCAGUAGCUGGUCUGAGAGGAUGAUCAGCCACAUUGGGACUGAGACACGGCCCAAACCCCUACGGGAGGCAGCAGUGGGGAAUCUUGCGCAAUGGGCGAAAGCCUGACGCAGCCAUGCCGCGUGAGUGAUGAAGGUCUUAGGAUUGUAAAAUUCUUUCACCGGGGACGAUAAUGACGGUACCCGGAGAAGAAGCCCCGGCUAACUUCGUGCCAGCAGCCGCGGUAAUACGAAGGGGGCUAGCGUUGCUCGGAAUUACUGGGCGUAAAGGGAGCGUAGGCGGACUGUUAAGUUAGAGGUGAAAGCCCAGGGCUCAACCUUGGAAUUGCCUUUGAUACUGGCAGUCUUGAGUACGGAAGAGGUAUGUGGAACUCCGAGUGUAGAGGUGAAAUUCGUAGAUAUUCGGAAGAACACCAGUGGCGAAGGCGACAUACUGGUCCGUUACUGACGCUGAGGCUCGAAAGCGUGGGGAGCAAACAGGAUUAGAUACCCUGGUAGUCCACGCCGUAAACGAUGAGUGCUAGUUGUCGGCAUGCAUGCAUGUCGGUGACGCAGCUAACGCAUUAAGCACUCCGCCUGGGGAGUACGGUCGCAAGAUUAAAACUCAAAGGAAUUGACGGGGGCCCGCACAAGCGGUGGAGCAUGUGGUU